AUCCGCAUAACAGACAGUAAUAACGAAUGAGAGGAUAUAAACAUAAAGCAGUAGAAAAAAAAUCUAUAUAACUAACGUAGACAUAGUACUAGAGCCGAUUUACGCAAUCGAAUACCUUCGGAAGUAGAACAUUUAUGUCAACACCGGUUUCGUAUUUUCACGUGAAAACGGCCGAAAACUGAGAGGUUAUCAACAAAUUAUAAGUUUACGGGUACCAUGAGGAUUUUUCAUGCAUUUAAACGACAGAAGUACAAGCGAACAGAUGACACAUUAUUAAAGUGGCUGCAGAAGCUUGAAAAGUUAGAUAGAGCAGGGGCAGUCAAAACUGUGGGAUAAUACUUCUAUGGUAUCCAACAUGUCUAGUCAGGUUGACAGAAGUGAAAGAUGGUCUGAUGGUACAAUGAUGUACAAAUGAUACUCUUUAAUACACAUUGUAAAUGUAAUUAAAAUGAUUUUAUGAAGUUUCAUGAAGGAUGGUACAGCCAACCAUUUUGAAUCAAGAAAUUUUGACUUAGUGUAAAAUGUUCUGUGGAUUCAUAUGAUGAGAAUGCCAAUGUUGAUCUGUAUGACUUAAUUAAACCACAGGAGUCUGAAAUUCUAUCAAUAAGACCAUAGAAGUCUAUCUUUACAAAAAAUACCCCCUAUAUAUAUAAAAUAAACACCUGGUGGUAUGUUUUGUAAAGAUAGACUUCUAUGGUCUUAUUGAUAGAAUUUCAGACUCCUGUGAUUAAACACAGAUAUUGAUACCUUCAGAUAUAUACCUGUGAAAUCUUCAGUGUCACCGUUCAGCUAUUGUUCAAGAUCAGUGUCUGCAGCUUGCACAGUUUAGUAUAGAGGAGCCUUCUGAAUCAAUUUUGUUACAUAUUUGCUGUUAUUGUAGGACGCACAUGUAGAGAGCAACAAGUCCUGUCCAACUGUGCAUGUAAAUGUGAUUCAGAAACUUUGAGAAUAUGUAAACAUUACACUGUUAUAAUUUUCAAAAUACUGUGUCGUGUAGUGUAUCAGUACUGUUUUGUCUCAGUUUAUAGCACAGUAUGUUCACAAAUCAAACUUAAGAUCAUAGUUAUCAGUAUUAUUAAAAUCAUUAAUUAUUUGUAUGGUGACAAAAUUUAAUUUCAUGCAAUACGACAGUAAAACGUUUGAUAAUUUUCGUUUUUAGCUCAACUAUUCGAAGAAUAGUCUAGCUAUUCUACUCACCCUGGCGUCGUCGUCGGCGUCGGCGUCACACCUUGGUUAAGUUUUUGCAUGCAAGUACAUACAGCCAUCAAUUAAAGGCAUAUAGCUUUGAAACUUAUUUUUUCUUUUUCUAGGUCAAUUACCAACCUCUCUGGGUCAAGUCCCAUAACUCUGACAUGUAUUUUGAGCAAAUUAUGCCCCCUUUUGGACUUAGAAAAUUUUGGUUAAAGUUUUACAUGCAAGUUAUUAUCUCCAAAACUAAUGCAGAUAUUGAUUUGAGACUUCACAUGUGUCUUCGGGGUUAUAAAACUAGUUGAUAGCAGCAAGUCCCAUAACUAUGACUUUCAUUUUGGCCAAAUUAUGCCCCCUUUUGGACUUAGAAAAUUCUGGUUAAAGUUUUGCGUGCAAGUACAUACAGCUAUUUCUAAAAGGCAUAUAGAUUUGAAACUUAUUUUUUCUUUUUCUAGAUCAAUUACCAACCUCACUGGGUCAAGACCCAUAACUCUGACAUGUAUUUUGAGCAAAUUAUGCCCCCUUUUAGACUUAUAAAAUUUUGGUUAAAGUUUUACAUGCAAGUUAUUAUCUCCAAAACUAAUGCAGAUAUUGAUUUGAAACUUCACAUGUGCCUUCGGGGUUAUAAAACUAGUUGAUAGCAGCAAGUCCCAUAACUCUGACCUUCAUUUUGGCCAAAUUAUGCCCCCUUUUGGACUUAGCAAAUUCUGGUUAAAGUUUUGCGUGCAAGUACAUACAGCUAUUACUAAAAGGCAUAUAGAUUUGAAACUUAUGUUUUCUUUUUCUAGAUCAAUUACUAACCUCACUGGAUCAAGUUCCAUAAUUCUGGCGUGUAUUUUGGCAAAUUAUGCCCCCUUUUGGACUUAGAAAAUUCUGGUUAAAGUUUUACAUGCGAGUUUCUAUCUCCAAAACUAAUGCAGAUAUUGAAUUGAAACUUCACAUGUGCCUUCGAGGUUAUAAAACUAGUUGAUAGCAGCAAGUCCCAUAACUGCUAUGCAUUUUGGUCAAAUUAUUCCCCCUUUUGAACUUAAAACUCUUUUGAUAUUUAACCUUUUUAGGUAAUAUUGUCCUGCCUCUGAGAAUAUUUCGAAUAGUCGAGCUUGGCUGUCUUACGGACAGCUCUUGUUAAAGUUGUAAGUUUAAAGUUGGCAUAAAUUGUUUUUCUCCUUCAGAAAUCUAAAAAGUGAUCGGUCAUUUUAAUUGCAAUAUCAUUUUAGUAUGACAAAGUUUAUAUAUAUUGAACUGAAAUACUAAUGUAAAUUUUUGAAUUAUUCAAUGCAUUUUCUUCAGUCUUAAAACAUUUGUUUAUCGUACAUGUCAUGGCCCACAACUCCUCCAUAUUACUUGUGUUUUGUCCUUUUUCGUUUCACUGAAGGAUAGGUAGAGGUAUUGCACAUCCAUUUUUUAGCAUCCUGAUUUUGUAACGUGUUGUAUGUAAGGUUUUAUCUGGGAAUUAUAUCUCAUCUAAAGGUGGGGAGAGGUAUUGUUUAUGCCUUCUCGUCUAUACGCAUUAAGCCUGUCUGACUUUAAAAGGACAAGCUGUUGGCCAGAUUUUGAUAAAACUUCACAGGAAUUAUCAGUACCAAGCAUAGUGUUGUGCAUAUCGAUUGUACGUUUCGUUUCGAUGCACUAAAUUGCAGCCAGAGCUAAAAGUAGAAAAAUCUUGUCGGCUUUCACAGAUCAAAACUACUUAACAGAUUUUGAUGAAACUUCACAGGAGUGAUCAGUACCAAGUAUAUUUUUGCAUAUCACCGACACUUUCCAUUUUGCUGCACAAAAUAGCUGCCAUAGCAUAAAGGCAUACAUAGGUGUGAGACAUGUUUUGUCAUAAAAAUACCUAACACAACACCUUCCACUUUGUUAUGAAAAAUGUAUUAAACUUCUUACAAUUGCAAACUGUAAUAAUUUGACAUUAAAUGCACUAGUUCCAUAACUGCAUUUGGCUUUUUUCAUAAUUAUUGCCCUUUUCUUACCAUGGCAAUAUUUUGUGUAACAUGUUACCUCAUUAAGCAUCAUAAGAUCAGAAAGUUCUAUGACUCAGAAAUGUUGGCCCUUUUGUACUUGUCAUGAGUAUGUUUUCAGUAUUUUAUAUUGUCAUUACUUUUUGUUGUGCGAGUUUACGGAAAUGAAGACUUAGUGUGCCUGUGCCUGUCCUGAUUUGUUUGUCUGGACAAUAUAUUAUUGAUUAGUCUUCACGAAACUUUGCAGGUUAAUUUCCUCAAGUUCCCUAUCAACUUUGAUAGCGGCAUGGUUACUUUUAAAGUGAUGUCACCACUGUACUAGUCAAACGUUUUGUAUUUCAGAUUUGAACUGGCAUUAUUCAAACAUUAAGAAGUAGUACUACAAGGCAACAUUUGACCUCUUUUCCAGUUUUGAUUGUCUCUGUUACUAUGAAGUUGCCUUUUCUUAGGAAUUGGUUGUCUCAUUUUUUAUGAUCUUAUGUUUUUAAUGAAUUGUAGCUAUAUGUUCUUUUUCUCAUUUUCAUUUUAAUAUAAUUCAUAUUUUUACUGUCAACAAAGUGCAGUACCACAUACUUAUCACUUUCAUUAAACAUACUUGUACUAUUUUCAUAAAACAUUAUAUAAAUCAUUAUAUUUCAUAUAAACAGAAUUAAAUAAAUAUUUAAGAACAUCAGUGUUUUCUUUGAUUGCUACAUGAAACAGACCAUAGGUCAAUUUAGGGUCAAUUCUGACACUCUAUAUGCAAAUUGAUAAGGGAGAUAACUAGUACUGUCUUAAGUGACCAAUAUUUAGUUACACAGUUACCUUCCCUUUACACAGGUUGGACUAUUUGUUGUUGAUCAUCUUUUGAACAUUAUUCCAUUACUGAUGACAGAACAUUGAAAAUAAAAGUUGUUGUAUCAUG